rnacentral:rRNA from 1 species
CUUGCAAGUGCGGCGUGCUAUACAUGCAGUCGAGCGAGCAGAACCAGCAGAUUUACUUCGGUAAUGACGCUGGGGACGCGAGCGGCGGAUGGGUGAGUAACACGUGGGGAACCUGCCCCAUAGUCUGGGAUACCACUUGGAAACAGGUGCUAAUACCGGAUAAGAAAGCAGAUCGCAUGAUCAGCUUAUAAAAGGCGGCGUAAGCUGUCGCUAUGGGAUGGCCCCGCGGUGCAUUAGCUAGUUGGUAAGGUAACGGCUUACCAAGGCAAUGAUGCAUAGCCGAGUUGAGAGACUGAUCGGCCACAUUGGGACUGAGACACGGCCCAAACUCCUACGGGAGGCAGCAGUAGGGAAUCUUCCACAAUGGACGCAAGUCUGAUGGAGCAACGCCGCGUGAGUGAAGAAGGUUUUCGGAUCGUAAAGCUCUGUUGUUGGUGAAGAAGGAUAGAGGUAGUAACUGGCCUUUAUUUGACGGUAAUCAACCAGAAAGUCACGGCUAACUACGUGCCAGCAGCCGCGGUAAUACGUAGGUGGCAAGCGUUGUCCGGAUUUAUUGGGCGUAAAGCGAGCGCAGGCGGAAGAAUAAGUCUGAUGUGAAAGCCCUCGGCUUAACCGAGGAACUGCAUCGGAAACUGUUUUUCUUGAGUGCAGAAGAGGAGAGUGGAAUUCCAUGUGUAGCGGUGGAAUGCGUAGAUAUAUGGAAGAACACCAGUGGCGAAGGCGACUCUCUGGUCUGCAACUGACGCUGAGGCUCGAAAGCAUGGGUAGCGAACAGGAUUAGAUACCCUGGUAGUCCAUGCCGUAAACGAUGAGUGCUAAGUGUUGGGAGGUUUCCGCCUCUCAGUGCUGCAGCUAACGCAUUAAGCACUCCGCCUGGGGAGUACGACCGCAAGGUUGAAACUCAAAGGAAUUGACGGGGGC